UACGUAGGGUCCGAGCGUUGUCCGGAAUUAUUGGGCGUAAAGAGCUCGUAGGUGGUUUGUCGCGUUGUUCGUGAAAACUCACAGCUUAACUGUGGGCGUGCGGGCGAUACGGGCAGACUGGAGUACUGCAGGGGAGACUGGAAUUCCUGGUGUAGCGGUGAAAUGCGCAGAUAUCAGGAGGAACACCGAUGGCGAAGGCAGAUCUCUGGGCCUUACCUGACGCUGAGGAGCGAAAGCUGGGGGAGCGAACAGG
rnacentral:rRNA from 1 species